rnacentral:rRNA from 1 species
AGAGUUUGAUCCUGGCUCAGAUUGAACGCUGGCGGAAUGCUUACACAUGCAAGUCGAACGGCAGCACGGGAGCUUGCUCCUGGUGGCGAGUGGCGAACGGGUGAGUAACACGUCGGAACGUAUCCAUUAAUGGGGGAUAACGCAGCGAAAGCUGUGCUAAUACCGCAUACGCCCUGAGGGGGAAAGCAGGGGAUCUUCGGACCUUGCGUUAUUGGAGCGGCCGACGUCUGAUUAGCUAGUUGGUGGGGUAAAGGCCUACCAAGGCGACGAUCAGUAGCUGGUCUGAGAGGAUGAUCAGCCACACUGGAACUGAGACACGGUCCAGACUCCUACGGGAGGCAGCAGUGGGGAAUUUUGGACAAUGGGCGCAAGCCUGAUCCAGCCAUUCCGCGUGAGUGAAGAAGGCCUUCGGGUUGUAAAGCUCUUUCGGCAGGGAAGAAACAGUUGAGGCCAAUAUCCUUGACCAAUGACGGUACCUGAAGAAGAAGCACCGGCUAACUACGUGCCAGCAGCCGCGGUAAUACGUAGGGUGCGAGCGUCAAUCGGAAUUACUGGGCGUAAAGCGUGCGCAGGCGGUUUUUCAAGUCUGAUGUG